rfam:Pan troglodytes isolate Yerkes chimp pedigree #C0471 (Clint) chromosome Y, whole genome shotgun sequence.
GGGAAAUGGAGAGAGGGGCCAGCCCCUGGCCCCGAUUCAAAAUGGGGCA